UUACGGCGGACGGGUGAGUACACGUGGGCAACCUGCCUAUAAGACUGGGAUAACUUCGGGAAACCGGAGCUAAUACCGGAUACGUUCUUUUCUCGCAUGAGAGAAGAUGGAAAGACGGUUUACGCUGUCACUUAUAGAUGGGCCCGCGGCGCAUUAGCUAGUUGGUGAGGUAAUGGCUCACCAAGGCGACGAUGCGUAGCCGACCUGAGAGGGUGAUCGGCCACACUGGGACUGAGACACGGCCCAGACUCCUACGGGAGGCAGCAGUAGGGAAUCUUCCGCAAUGGACGAAAGUCUGACGGAGCAACGCCGCGUGAACGAAGAAGGCCUUCGGGUCGUAAAGUUCUGUUGUUAGGGAAGAACAAGUACCAGAGUAACUGCUGGUACCUUGACGGUACCUAACCAGAAAGCCACGGCUAACUACGUGCCAGCAGCCGCGGUAAUACGUAGGUGGCAAGCGUUGUCC
rnacentral:rRNA from 2 species